rnacentral:other from 1 species
CAUUCCCUACCUAGCUCGUGACUGGAUGGCCGUUUUUGAGCCAACACCGAACCACUGGGGAUCCGGCUUUGGGGACGGAGCGCAGAUCUCGACGAGAGGCAGCGCAGAAAUCUCCGAGAGGGUUCCCACCUAAAGCAUCUGGUUCACUUAAACGCUAUCCUACACGGCUUGUGUGGGGAUUUU